rfam:Medicago truncatula strain A17 chromosome 4, whole genome shotgun sequence.
GUUCAAACGGGAUAUUGGUCCGGUUCAAUAAGAAAGUAAGGCUCAAAAUGUUGUGCCUUUCUUUUUGAUUGAGCCGUGCCAAUAUCACGUCAUCUCCG